CUGCUCCUUGCUCAAGAAUCCAAUACUAAGAGAUGAGUGUUCCCUAAAAGGAAAGAAAGCUUUAUUGAGGAAGCUGGCACUCCUGGAGAGAAGACAAGAGGCAGACGGAGGACAUGGGGAGCGGUCUGUCAUGGGAAGGUCCCACAGAGUCCUGUUCCACUACAUUUUUGUUGUACAGUUCUAUGGGUUUUGGCAAAUGCAUAGAGUCAUGUGACCACAAUUGAAAUCAAGAGUAGAUGCUGGAGGAGGCUGAAACCCAGAACUUCCAACAGAAGCAGACAAGAAAAGCCCCAAGAAAAUCCCAGUUUUACUGGCCAAAAGACCGGGAAGGGGACAUCCCCGUAGGACAGAAAGGUUUUGACAGCACCCGCGCCCCAACCCAACCCAAUGCCACAACACCUCCUCCUCGCCCCACCCCGAGCUGUUGUCAGCGCAGCCUGAGCGGAGAGCGUGGACACCCACCCUGCUCCCCAGCCCUCGGUAUAUUGAGGACCCAGAGAAGUGCCCCCCUUCCCUGCUGAUUCAGUGUCAAGGAAGACAGAGGGGGGACUCUGAGCUUCCCCCCUCCCCACUUGGAGAGCGAGGGAGACUGUCAGAUCAGAGGGAGCUGAAGAAAGGGGUUCUCUCCAUUUCCAUGGAAAGUCCUAGGCAAACUCCAGACCACCUAACUCUGAAACUGACCUGAACGAACGUGCCAGGACUCAGAGCUGGACCGCAGUGUGGAAAACCAGCCGGGCUUUCAGAGUGACCUCUGAGCUGCACACAAAGUUGACAGAAUGGCCCGGCGAGGGCCCCAAUCCAAAUUGUUGUUGGAACUACAGCCCACAAAGAUCAGCCAGACGCCGUACAUCAAACUUAGACUGAGUGACUGCUGCUAAAAUAGAUUCAUAAAGGAUCUGAUCACCUGAUAUACC